UACGGGGGGGGCAAGCGUUGUUCGGAAUUACUGGGCGUAAAGGGCUCGUAGGCGGCCAACUAAGUCAGACGUGAAAUCCCUCGGCUUAACCGGGGAACUGCGUCUGAUACUGGAUGGCUUGAGGUUGGGAGAGGGAUGCGGAAUUCCAGGUGUAGCGGUGAAAUGCGUAGAUAUCGGGAGGAACACCGGUGGCGAAGGCGGCGACCUGGGUAGAUACUGACGCUGAGGCGCGAAAGCGUGGGGAGCAAACAGG
rnacentral:rRNA from 1 species